ensembl:lncRNA
GAGCCUGUUAGCUGUACAGUUACACGAUGACAUAGUGUCAUACCCUGGGUUGUUCAGAACAGAAUGAACCUGUUAGCUGUACAGUUACAAGAUGACAUAGUGUCAUACCCUGGGUUGUUCCGAACACAAUGAGACUGUUAGAGGUACAGUUACAAGAUGACAUGCUGUCAUACCCUGUGUUGUUCUGAACACAAUGAGCCUGUUAGAGGUACAGUUACAAGAUGACAUGCUGUUAUACCCUGGGUUGUUCUGAACACAAUGAGCCUGUUAGAGGUACAGUUACAAGAUGACAUGCUGUCAUACCCUGGGUUGUACAGAACACAAUGAGCCUGUUAGAGGUACAGUUACAAGAUGACAUGCUGUCAUACCCUG